rnacentral:rRNA from 1 species
CGAAAGCCUGACGGAGCAAGACCGCGUGAGGGAGGAAGGCUCUUGGGUCGUAAACCUCUUUUGUCAGGGAAGAACACAAUGACGGUACCUGAAGAAUCAGCCUCGGCUAACUCCGUGCCAGCAGCCGCGGUAAUACGGAGGAGGCAAGCGUUAUCCGGAAUUAUUGGGCGUAAAGCGUCCGCAGGUGGCUUAUCAAGUCUGCUGUCAAAGAGUGGGGCUUAACCCCAUAAAGGCAGUGGAAACUGAGAAGCUAGAGUGCCGUAGGGGUAGAGGGAAUUCCCGGUGUAGCGGUGAAAUGCGUAGAGAUCGGGAAGAACAUCGGUGGCGAAAGCGCUCUACUGGACGGCAACUGACACUCAGGGACGAAAGCUAGGGGAGCG